AACGAACGCUGGCGGCAUGCCUAACACAUGCAAGUCGAACGAAGUCUUCGGACUUAGUGGCGCACGGGUGCGUAACGCGUGGGAAUCUGCCCUUGGGUACGGAAUAACUCAGAGAAAUUUGUGCUAAUACCGUAUAAUGUCUUCGGACCAAAGAUUUAUCGCCCAAGGAUGAGCCCGCGUAAGAUUAGCUAGUUGGUGGGGUAAAGGCCUACCAAGGCGACGAUCCAUAGCUGGUCUGAGAGGAUGAUCAGCCACACUGGGACUGAGACACGGCCCAGACUCCUACGGGAGGCAGCAGUGGGGAAUAUUGGACAAUGGGCGAAAGCCUGAUCCAGCAAUGCCGCGUGAGUGAUGAAGGCCUUAGGGUGUAAAGCUCUUUACCCGUAGAUGAUAAUGACAGUAUCGGGAGAAUAAGCUCCGGCUAACUCCGUGCCAGCAGCCGCGGU
rnacentral:rRNA from 1 species